AACGAACGCUGGCGGCAUGCCUAACACAUGCAAGUCGAACGAGACCUUCGGGUCUAGUGGCGCACGGGUGCGUAACGCGUGGGAACCUGCCCUUAGGUUCGGAAUAACUCCCCGAAAGGGGUGCUAAUACCGGAUAAUGUCUUCGGACCAAAGAUUUAUCGCCUUUGGAUGGGCCCGCGUUGGAUUAGCUAGUUGGUAGGGUAAAAGCCUACCAAGGCGACGAUGCAUAGCUGGUGUGAGAGGAUGAUCAGCCACACUGGGACUGAGACACGGCCCAGACUCCUACGGGAGGCAGCAGUGGGGAAUAUUGGACAAUGGGCGAAAGCCUGAUCCAGCAAUGCCGCGUGAGUGAUGAAGGCCUUAGGGUUGUAAAGCUCUUUUACCCGGGAUGAUAAUGACAGUACCGGGAGAAUAAGCUCCGGCUAACUCCGUG
rnacentral:rRNA from 1 species